rnacentral:rRNA from 1 species
CAGGAUGAACGCUAGCUACAGGCUUAACACAUGCAAGUCGAGGGGAAACGACAUCGAAAGCUUGCUUUUGAUGGGCGUCGACCGGCGCACGGGUGAGUAACGCGUAUCCAACCUGCCCACCACUUGGGGAUAACCUUGCGAAAGUAAGACUAAUACCCAAUGAUAUCUCUAGAAGACAUCUGAAAGGGAUUAAAGAUUUAUCGGUGAUGGAUGGGGAUGCGUCUGAUUAGCUUGUUGGCGGGGUAACGGCCCACCAAGGCGACGAUCAGUAGGGGUUCUGAGAGGAAGGUCCCCCACAUUGGAACUGAGACACGGUCCAAGCUCCUACGGGAGGCAGCAGUGAGGAAUAUUGGUCAAUGGGCGAGAGCCUGAACCAGCCAAGUAGCGUGCAGGAUGACGGCCCUAUGGGUUGUAAACUGCUUUUAUAAGGGAAUAAAGUGAGUCUCGUGAGACUUUUUGCAUGUACCUUAUGAAUAAGGACCGGCUAAUUCCGUGCCAGCAGCCGCGGUAAUACGGAAGGUCCGGGCGUUAUCCGGAUUUAUUGGGUUUAAAGGGAGCGUAGGCCGGAGAUUAAGCGUGUUGUGAAAUGUAGACGCUCAACGUCUGCACUGCAGCGCGGACUGGUUUCCUUGAGUACGCACAAAGUGGGCGGAAUUCGUGGUGUAGCGGUGAAGUGCUUAGAUAUCACGAAGAACUCCGAUUGCGAAGGCAGCUCACUGGAGCGCAACUGACGCUGAAGCUCGAAAGUGCGGGUAUCGAACAGGAUUAGAUACCCUGGUAGUCCGCACGGUAAACGAUGGAUGCCCGCUGUUGGUCUGAAUAGGUCAGCGGCCAAGCGAAAGCAUUAAGCAUCCCACCUGGGGAGUACGCCGGCAACGGUGCAACUCAAAUGAA